rnacentral:rRNA from 1 species
UAAGGAAUAUUGGUCAAUGGACGAAAGUCUGAACCAGCCAUGCCGCGUGGAGGAUGAAGGUCCUCUGGAUUGUAAACUUCUUUUAUCUGGGACGAAAAAGGGCUUUUCUAGGCCAACUGACGGUACCAGAUGAAUAAGCACCGGCUAACUCCGUGCCAGCAGCCGCGGUAAUACGGAGGGUGCAAGCGUUAUCCGGAUUCACUGGGUUUAAAGGGUGCGUAGGUGGGUUGGUAAGUCCGUGGUGAAAUCCCCAAGCUCAACUUGGGAACUGCCGUGGAUACUAUCAGUCUUGAAUACCGUGGAGGUUAGCGGAAUAUGUCAUGUAGCGGUGAAAUGCUUAGAUAUGACAUAGAACACCAAUUGCGAAGGCAGCUGGCUACACGAAUAUUGACACUGAGGC